AGCGAACGCUGGCGGCAGGCCUAACACAUGCAAGUCGAACGAACUCUUCGGAGUUAGUGGCGGACGGGUGAGUAACACGUGGGAACGUGCCUUUUGGUUCGGAAUAACUCAGGGAAACUUGUGCUAAUACCGAAUGUGCCCUUCGGGGGAAAGAUUUAUCGCCAUUAGAGCGGCCCGCGUCUGAUUAGCUAGUUGGUGAGGUAACGGCUCACCAAGGCGACGAUCAGUAGCUGGUCUGAGAGGAUGACCAGCCACACUGGGACUGAGACACGGCCCAGACUCCUACGGGAGGGAGCAGUGGGGAAUCUUGCGCAAUGGGCGAAAGCCUGACGCAGCCAUGCCGGGUGAAUGAUGAAGGUCUUAGGAUUGUAAAAUUCUUUCACCGGGGACGAUAAUGACGGUACCCGGAGAAGAAGCCCCGGCUAACUUCGUG
rnacentral:rRNA from 1 species